UACGAAGGGGGCUAGCGUUGCUCGGAAUCACUGGGCGUAAAGCGCACGUAGGCGGAUCUUUAAGUCAGGGGUGAAAUCCUGGAGCUCAACUCCAGAACUGCCUUCGAUACUGGGAGCUCGAGUCCGGGAGAGGUGAGUGGAACUGCGAGUGUAGAGGUGAAAUUCGUAGAUAUUCGCAAGAACACCAGUGGCGAAGGCGGCUCACUGGCCCGGUAACUGACGCUGAGGUGCGAAAGCGUGGGGAGCAAACAGG
rnacentral:rRNA from 1 species